ACCUUUUACGAAGAGAACCUAGACGUAUGUUUCUGGAUUUUGCCAUUUCAUCAUACUGAAGUUGAAAUUGUUGGUGCAUUAGGCCGAUACAGUGUAUGCUCCCUUCUCGAAAGGUUCCACAUCUUGUUGCAAGAGCAGUUUAAUUAUGAGAUCACAUCAGGGAGGCCAAAAGUUGCAAAAUGGAUAGAGGAAUUGAACAAGCUUGAUGGCUACAUUCAGACAAAAGCUGAUCCCGAGAUACUGAUCGACUUAUAUAAGAAAAAAUACUUGGCAUAAAACUGCAUAAAGCUCGAUUUAUCAACGAUAUUAAAUUACGAAUAAGUUUUGCUCCCUGCUCCGUUCAUGUCAAGGACUUGAAGGACUAUGCAUUGUUAUUUGUGUAGAUUGUACUUUAGAUUUGUUGCUUGUGCUGGAAACUAGUAUCAGCAUAAGUAAUAGGUUAUCAUCUCAUGUACUAGAAUUCUGUUUCGUGUGCAUAUCAAGCUACUUAAUAAAAUAUUAUUUUUCAUAA